UACUAUUCCAUUCUGUUUUUCCUUUAAAUACUAAAUAGUAACCAAGGAAAAGGGAGAGACAUUUUCUGCAGAGAUUUGAAAAGAUGUAGAGUCAGUCAUGUUGAGAACUAGAGGAAAGAUAUUCCAGAUGGCAGGAGACACAGAGAAACCGCUCACACCAGCAGUGGUGAGAUCGUAUGAAGAAACAAAGAUGAAGUGGAAAAAAUAAAAAGAGAAAUGCAUUGUAGUAACUGUCCUCUGGUUCUGCCAUAUCUGCACCUGAUCACACCUACAGGAUGAAAAACCAUUUAGACUAAAGGCAAGAUACUGCUCCCCCUGAAGCUAACAAGGCCCUGAAGAUGAGGCUCCUGGGUGCUUGGAGGUGGAGAGCUGGAGCUGCCACUCGAUCUAGCAUUGGAAUCAAGAGGUCAUCAUAAGAGGUUAAGGUAUCAGGAAUCAGGGCUUGCUGCCCUUCCAAGAGUACACCAGGAUUCUAGCGAUAGUUGAUUUCCUGAUGAAGAUGGCACAUUUUAUACCAUGUCGCGGCCUCCCCACCGCCCAGGAAAUAGCCUGUCUAUUCAAAGACUACAUCUUUCACCUUCAUGGGUUGCCC